UGUGACUUGUAUCGAUUGGAGGAAACACUUCAGCAUCGAAGGAAUAACUACUGAAAUAUUGGAGUGUCAAAAUGACAAAACGAAAACCUGCAAAACGAUGGAGAAGAACCGGUAAAGAAGUCGACUCAAAUAAACGAUCAAGAAGGACUGUACAAUUGCCACCAAUGUGAAUGUGGAGACUGAUGAGUAAUGUCUAAG